rnacentral:rRNA from 1 species
GCAUGUCUAAGUAUAAGCAACUAUACUGUGAAACUGCGAAUGGCUCAUUAAAUCAGUUAUCGUUUAUUUGAUAGUACCUUACUACAUGGAUAACCGUGGUAAUUCUAGAGCUAAUACAUGCUAAUCACCUCGACUUCGGAAGGGGUGCGUUUAUUAGAUUCAAAACCAAUGCCCUUCGGGGCUUCGUGGUGACUCAUGAUAACUUCGCGAAUCGCAUGGCCUUGCGCCGGCGAUGGUUCAUUCAAAUUUCUGCCCUAUCAACUUUCGAUUUCAGGGUCUUGACCUGAAAUGGUGUCAACGGGUAACGGGGAAUUAGGGUUCGAUUGCCGGAGAGGGAGCCUGAGAAACGGCUACCACAUCCAAGGAAGGCAGCAGGCGCGCAAAUUACCCAAUCCCAACACGGGGAGGUAGUGACAAUACGUACUGAUACAGGGCUCUUUUGGGUCUUGUAAUUGGAAUGAGUACAAUUUAAAUCCCUUAACGAGGAACAAUUGGAGGGCAAGUCUGGUGCCAGCAGCCGCGGUAAUUCCAGCUCCAAUAGCGUAUAUUAAAGUUGUUGCAGUUAAAAAGCUCGUAGUUGAACCUUGGGCCUGGCUGGCCGGUCCGCCUCACCGCGUGCACUGGUCCGGCCGCGCCUUUCUUCCUGGGGAUCCGCAUGCCCUUCGCUGGGUGUGUCGGGGAAGCAGGACUGUUACUGUGAAAAAAUUAGAGUGCUUAAAGCGGGCCAAGCUUGAAUAGAUUAGCAUGGGAUAACAUAAUAUGACGGCAGUUAUAUUUUGUUGGUUUCUAUGAUUGCCGUAAUGAUUAAUAGGGAUAGUCGGGGGCGUCGGUAUUGAACUGUCAGAGGUGAAAUUCUUGGAUUUGUUCAAGACCAACUACUGCGAAAGCAUUCGCCAAGGAUGUUUUCAUUAAUCAGUGAACGAAAGUUAGGGGAUCGAAGACGAUCAGAUACCGUCGUAGUCUUAACCAUAAACUAUGCCGACUAGGGAUCGGGCGAUGUUAUCUUUUUGACUCGCUCGGCACCUUACGAGAAAUCAAAGUCUUUGGGUUCUGGGUGAGUCUUUUUCCUUCCCGUCUCAUCUCCGUCACGUACUAACAGUGCUUAUAGGGGGAGUAUGGUCGCAAGGCUGAAACUUAAAGAAAU